rnacentral:rRNA from 1 species
UACAGAGGGUGCGAGCGUUAAUCGGAAUUACUGGGCGUAAAGCGUGCGUAGACGGUUAUUUAAGUCGGGUGUGAAAGCCCCGGGCUCAACCUGGGAAUUGCAUUCGAGACUGAAUAGCUAGGGUACGGUAGAGGGAAGUGGAAUUUCCGGUGUAGCGGUGAAAUGCGUAGAUAUCGGAAGGAACAUCAGUGGCGAAAGCGACUUCCUGGACCAGUACCGACGUUCAGGCACGAAAGCGUGGGGAGCGAACAGGA